CUUGAUAGUUCGGUUUGUUAGGAGUGCUCCAGGGGUUGGUCUCAGCUCAGUGAGGAGGAUAAAGACGCAUACAAGGAUAGAGCUGCCCAGGAUAAGAUUAGAUAUAAAAAAGAGAAGAAAGCGUAUGACAAGAUAAAGAGAAAGAUAAAAAAGGACGGAUUCGACUUUGUGGAGGAUACAGAUUCGGAGGAGGAGAAGGCCGAAGAGGAGGACCAGGAGAAGGAGGAUCAGGAGAAGAAGAAGGUUGUUAUGGAAGAAACUAAUGAUAAUCUUGAAUAAGAUGCAGAGGAGAACAGACAUGAGGACGUAAAUGAACUAAUGAACCCCAGUCAAAUGUUCAUAAAAUCUGUUAUUGUUUAAAGCCUUCUACCUAAAUGCAGUUUAAAGCAAUUAGUCAAAUAAUUUAUUUAUUUUUGUUACUUUUGAAAUCGACGAUAGAUUUUUUAUCAAUAAAUAUUUUUCAUUGAAAACGAACCGAGUUUUUGUGUUUUAUGAAACAUAAUUCUUUUUAAGACAACCAAUUCCAUGAUUUGUUUGCUAUUGUUGACAUAAUAAUAAUUGGUAGAUAAAAACAUUCAUCAAUGGUAUUUUAUUUAAAAUUCACCGUUAGUCACCUGUUUGAGUAAGUUGUAGUUGAAAUUUUGAAGUGAAUAAACGUUUAACGAGG